UUAUACAGCGAAACUGCGAAUGGCUCAUUAUAUAAGUUAUCGUUUAUUUGAUAGUACCUUACUACUUGGAUAACCGUGGUAAUUCUAGAGCUAAUACAUGCUAAAAAUCCCGACUUCGGAAGGGAUGUAUUUAUUAGAUUAAAAACCAAUGCCCUUCGGGGCUCACUGGUGAUUCAUAAUAACUUCUCGAAUCGCAUGGCCUUGCGCCGGCGAUGGUUCAUUCAAAUUUCUUCCCUAUCAACUUUCGAUGCUAGAGUAGUGUUCUAGCAUGGUUACAACGGGUAACGGAGGGUUAGGGCUCGACCCCGGAGAAGGAGCCUGAGAAACGGCUACUACAUCCAAGGAAGGCAGCAGGCGCGCAAAUUACCCAAUCCCGACUCGGGGAGGUAGUGACGAUAAAUACUGAUACAGGGCUCUUUUGGGUCUUGUAAUUGGAAUGAGUACAAUUUAAAUCCCUUAACGAGGAACAAUUGGAGGGCAAGUCUGGUGCCAGCAGCCGCGGUAAUUCCAGCUCCAAUAGCGUAUAUUAAAGUUGUUGUGGUUAAAAAGCUCGUAGUAGAACCUUGGGCCUGGCUGGCCGGUCCGCCUCACCGCGUGCACUGGUCCGGCCGGGCCUUUCCCUCUGUGGAACCGCAUGCCCUUCACUGGGUGUGCCGGGGAAACAGGACUUUUACUUUGAAAAAAUUAGAGUGCUCCAGGCAGGCCUAUGCUCGAAUACAUUAGCAUGGAAUAAUAGAAUAGGACGUGUGGUUCUAUUUUGUUGGUUUCUAGGACCGCCGUAAUGAUUAAUAGGGACAGUCGGGGGCAUCAGUAUUCAAUUGUCAGAGGUGAAAUUCUUGGAUUUAUUGAAGACUAACUACUGCGAAAGCAUUUGCCAAGGAUGUUUUCAUUUAUCAGAACGAAAGUUAGGGGAUCGAAGACGAUCAGAUACCGUCGUAGUCUUAACCAUAAACUAUGCCGACUAGGGAUCGGACGAUGUUAUUUUUUGACUCGUUCGGCACCUUACGAGAAAUCAAAGUGCUUGGGCUCCA
rnacentral:rRNA from 1 species